rnacentral:rRNA from 1 species
GACGAACGCUGGCGGCGUGCUUAACACAUGCAAGUCGUACGGUAAGGCCCUUUCGGGGGUCCACGAGUGGCGGACGGGUGCGUAACACGUGCGUAACCUGCCCACAACUUUGGGAUAACGAUAGGAAACUGGUGCUAAUACUGGAUAUGUGCUACUGCUGCAUGGUGGGGGUUGGAAAGCUCCGGCGGUUGUGGAUGGACUUGCGGCCUAUCAGCCUGUUGGUGGGGUAGUGGCCUACCAAGGCGGGGAAGGGUAGCCGGCCUGAGAGGGUGACCGGCCACAAUUGGAACGAGGUACCGGCCAGACACCCACGGGAGGGAGGAGUGGGGAAUAUUGCACAAAGGGCGCGAGGCCGAUGCAGCAACGCCACGGGCGGGAUGACGGGCUUCCGGUUGUAAACCGCCUUCAGCAGGGACGAAGCUUUUUGUGACGGUACCUGCAGAAGAAGCACCGGCUAACUACGUG